rnacentral:rRNA from 1 species
AUUGAACGCUGGCGGCAGGCCUAACACAUGCAAGUCGCACGAGUGGCGGACGGGUGAGUAAUGUCUGGGAAACUGCCCGAUGGAGGUGGAUCACUACUGGAAACGGUAGCUACUACCGCAUACCAUCGGAUGUUCCCAGAUGGGAUGAGCUUGUGGGUGAGGUAACGGCUCACCUAGGCGAGCAUCCCUAGCUGGUCUGAGAGGAUGACCAGCCACACUGGAACUGAGACACGGUACAGAAUCCUACGUGAGGCAGCAGUGGGGAAGAGUUCAAAAUGGGAGAAAGCAUGAUGCAGCAAUGCGGCGUGUGUGAAGAAGUCCUUCGGGGUGUAAAGUACUUUCAGCGGGGAGGCGGUACCCACAGAAGAAGCACCGGCUAACUCCGUGCCAGCAGCCGCGGUAAUAC